rnacentral:rRNA from 1 species
UCCAGACUCCUACGGGGGGCAGCAGUGAGGAAUAUUGGUCAAUGGGCGAGAGCCUGAACCAGCCAAGUCGCGUGAGGGAUGACUGCCCUAUGGGUUGUAAACCUCUUUUGUAUGGGGGGAAUAAGCUUUACGAGUAGAGUGAUGACAGUACCAUACGAAUAAGCAUCGGCUAACUCCGUGCCAGCAGCCGCGGUAAUACGGAGGGUGCGAGCGUUAAUCGGAAUUACUGGGCGUAAAGCGCUCGUAGGCGGUAUGUCAAGUCAAGGGUGAAAUCCCCGCGCUCAACGUGGGAACUGCCUUUGAAACUGGCAAACUGGAGUGUGUGAGAGGAUAGUGGAAUUCCAGGUGUAGGAGUGAAAUCCGUAGAUAUCUGGAGGAACAUCAGUGGCGAAGGCGACUAUCUGGCACAUAACUGACGCUGAGGAGCGAAAGCGUGGGUAGCAAACAGGAUUAGAUACCCCAGUACA